rnacentral:rRNA from 1 species
UACCAGCACCCCGAGUGGUCGGGACGAUUAUUGGGCCUAAAGCAUCCGUAGCCGGUUUUACAAGUCCUCCGUUAAAUCCAGUUGCUUAACAGAUGGGCUGCGGAGGAUACUAUAAGACUAGGAGGCAGGAGAGGCAAGCGGUACUCAGUGGGUAGGGGUAAAAUCCGUUGAUCCAUUGAAGACCACCAGUGGCGAAGGCGGCUUGCCAGAAUGCGCUCGACGGUGAGGGAUGAAAGCUGGGGGAGCAAACCGG